AGUGUCUGUAUGUGUGAGUGUCUGUAUGUAUGAGUGUCUGUAUGAUACAGACACUCAUACAUACAGACACUCAUACAUACAGACACU
rnacentral:pre_miRNA from 1 species